UACGGAGGGGGCUAGCGUUGUUCGGAAUUACUGGGCGUAAAGCGCACGUAGGCGGCUUUGCAAGUUAGAGGUGAAAGCCCGGAGCUUAACUCCGGAAUUGCCUUUGAGACUGCAUCGCUUGAAUCGUGGAGAGGUAAGUGGAAUUCCGAGUGUAGAGGUGAAAUUCGUAGAUAUUCGGAAGAACACCAGUGGCGAAGGCGACUUACUGGACACGUAUUGACGCUGAGGUGCGAAAGCGUGGGGAGCAAACAGG
rnacentral:rRNA from 1 species